CCUACGGGUGACAGCAGUGGGGAAUAUUGCACAAUGGGGGAAACCCUGAUGCAGCGACGCCGCGUGAGUGAAGAAGUAAUUCGUUAUGUAAAGCUCUAUCAGCAGGGAAGAAAAGGACGGUACGUGAGUAAGAAGCCCCGGCUAACUACGUGCCAGCAGCCGCGGUAAUACGUAGGGGGCAAGCGUUAUCCGGAUUUACUGGGUGUAAAGGGAGCGUAGACGGCAGUGCAAGUCUGGAGUGAAAGGCGGGGGCUCACCCCCCGGACUGCGCUGGAAACUGUACGUCUGGAGUACAGGAGAGGUAAGUGGAAUUCCUAGUGUAGCGGUGAAAUGCGUAGAUAUUAGGAGGAACCCCAGUGGCGAAGGCGGCUUACUAGACUGUCACUGACGUUGAGGCUCGAAAGCGUGGGGAGCAAACAGGAUUAGAUACCCCAGUAGUC
rnacentral:rRNA from 1 species